rnacentral:miRNA from 1 species
CCGUGGCUUUAGAUUGUUACU